rnacentral:rRNA from 1 species
UACGGAGGGGGCUAGCGUUGUUCGGAAUUACUGGGCGUAAAGCGCGUGUAGGCGGCUAAGUAAGUCGGGCGUGAAAUCCCACGGCUCAACCGUGGAAGUGCACUCGAAACUGCAUAGCUAGAGUCCUGGAGAGGAAGGUGGAAUGCUUGGUGUAGAGGUGAAAUUCGUAGAUAUCAAGCGGAACACCGGUGGCGAAGGCGGCCUUCUGGACAGUGACUGACGCUGAGACGCGAAAGCGUGGGGAGCAAACAGG